GUGCUUGCUUCAGCAGCACCUAUAUUAAAAUUGGAACGAAACAGAGAAGAUGAGCAUGGCCCCUGUGUAAGGAUGACACACACAUUCACAAAGCGCUCUGUAUUUUG